UUACUUACCUGGCAGAGUCAACUCUGGAUCAAGAAGACGAGUGGCUUAGACUAGUGACUUGCUUAGCCUAAGGUCUUCCCGAGUAGAAGAGCCUACGUCAUUAUUUGUGGGAGAAGGGGUUUGUGUUCGCACAGCAGCCCCUA
rfam:Arabidopsis lyrata subsp. lyrata unplaced genomic scaffold ARALYscaffold_1, whole genome shotgun sequence.